AACGAACGCUGGCGGCAUGCCUAACACAUGCAAGUCGAACGAGAUCUUCGGAUCUAGUGGCGCACGGGUGCGUAACGCGUGGGAAUCUGCCCUUUGCUUCGGAAUAACAGUGAGAAAUUACUGCUAAUACCGGAUGAUGUCUUCGGACCAAAGAUUUAUCGGCAAAGGAUGAGCCCGCGUAGGAUUAGGUAGUUGGUGGGGUAAUGGCCUACCAAGCCGACGAUCCUUAGCUGGUCUGAGAGGAUGAUCAGCCACACUGGGACUGAGACACGGCCCAGACUCCUACGGGAAGCAGCAGUGGGGAAUAUUGGACAAUGGGGGAAACCCUGAUCCAGCAAUGCCGCGUGAGUGAUGAAGGCCUUAGGGUUGUAAAGCUCUUUUACCAGGGAUGAUAAUGACAGUACCUGGAGAAUAAGCUCCGGCUAACUCCGUG
rnacentral:rRNA from 1 species